rnacentral:rRNA from 1 species
GACGAACGCUGGCGGCGCGCCUAACACAUGCAAGUCGAACGGUGAAGAGGAGCUUGCUCCUCGGAUCAGUGGCGGACGGGUGAGUAACACGUGAGCAACCUGGCUCUAAGAGGGGGACAACAGUUGGAAACGACUGCUAAUACCGCAUAACGUAUCGGGAUGGCAUCUUCCUGAUACCAAAGAUUUUAUCGGUGAUAGAUGGGCUCGCGUCUGAUUAGCUGGUUGGUGAGGUAACGGCCCACCAAGGCGACGAUCAGUAGCCGACCUGAGAGGGUGAUCGGCCACAUUGGAACUGAGAAACGGUCCAA